rnacentral:rRNA from 1 species
CUACGAAGGUCCCAAGCGUUAUUCGGAAUCACUGGGCGUAAAGAGUACGUAGGCGGUUUGGUAAGUCAGGUGUGAAAUCCCGGAGCUCAACUCCGGAACUGCAUCCGAUACUGCCAGACUUGAGUAAUGGAGAGGCAGGUGUAAUUCUCGGUGUAGCAGUGAAAUGCGUGGAUAUCGAGAGGAAGACCAAUGGCGAAGGCAGCCUGCUGGACAUUUACUGACGCUGAGGUACGAAGGCUAGGGGAGCGAAAGGGAUUAGAAACCCUGGUAGUCC